rnacentral:sRNA from 1 species
AGGUGCAAGAAGGCUUAUAAAGACUCCAACAAAGCUCCAGUCUCUUAAUUAUGUCACCUCAGGGUGAUGCGGUCGAGUUAUGAAACUUUGGGAAAAGAGAGAACAAGGAACGCGGGCGAUCAGAGGCCCAGUCGCGAGACCUGCCCCGCUGGGGCCGCCAGCCGGCACCUCGACGCCCCGGGACCUGGCACCGCCUCGCUCCACCCCUGCGAAUCCGGGGCGAAUCCGGGCGGAGAGUUCCUGCCGGCCGCGCAGCGCAGAGCCCCCUCCGGCCCGCCCUCUCUCCCUCCCUCCCGCUGAGCUCCAGCUGUGCCAGAGGCACCCGAGCCCUGAGAGUCCGCCGCCAACGCGCAGGUGCUAGCGGCCCCUUCGCCCUGCAGGAGAGAAUAUCCUUUGACCCUAAGUGGAAGCCUACAAGAAGGGGAAUUCUGGGCAAUGUGGUUCAGCCCAGCCACAUCACAUACUAUUAUUUAGUAGUCAUGAAGAGAGAGACAUAGACAGUGAAGAGUAAGUGAAGAAUUUGAGGGUCAUCAGCCAUUGUGAACUCAUCAAAAUAUUCCCACUCUGGCCACUGCCCAAAGGGGCUCUUAUCUGAGGAAUACUGCUGACUUCGUGUACCUAGUUUUACAGAGCCAUCUUUCUGAAGCAUAAAUUAGAUUACAUUAUUCUACAGCUUAAAUCCCUCCAUGAACUUCCCAUCACCCAAGAGUGGAUCUGAAACUCCUUAGAGUGUCAUUCAAGACCCUUCUGUAUGUGGCUGCCAUGCAUUUUUUCAACUUUAUUUCCAGCCUUGCAAUGUACAUACAUCCAUCUCCGUCCCACGCCCUCUGCAGGGCUUUUCGGUUCCAGAACAUGCCAUGUGCUUUUCUCCUUUGGAGCUCUUUGAAUAGGAUGCCCUUCCUCCCUUGUCUGCCUGUAGAUAGAAACAUCCUGUGCAUUGGUGGAGUCGGCCCUGACCACCAUUUUCUUAGCAUGCUGAAUUACUUCUGUUCCCCUCUGUGUUUGCACAGCUUUGUUUGUGCACAGUAGACUUUUGGCUGGGCCAUGUAGACUGCCUCCUCCAUGAGUUUGCCAGCUUUUUGAGGACAAUGUCUGUUUUAUUCAUCCUCGAAUUCUCAGUGCCUAGCAGAGUGCAUAGCACAGGGUAGUUAUGCAAUACAUAUUGGAGUAAAGGAAUACAAUUCAAAUAAACAGUCUCAUUAACAGAUGCAAACCAACUCCUCUCAUGACAGCAGAGAAUCUAAGCUCAAACAAAUUACCAGAGUUGGCAGUUGAAGUACUAUAUAUAGACAGAACUUAAUAAAUGCCUUUCUUUGUCUUAAGCCUUUGAUGACAGUGAUGUGUUUUUAUGAACGUAGAUAACCACAAGCAGAUGUGUCAAAGCUCUUUUGUCCAGGAAUAAACUGAGUUUCGUCAUCAUCUUGACAGUACUUUCCUGGAUGAGUGUUCAGGAAACAUGAAAAGUUUUUCGAACAAUUCAACAAAUGUGUAAUAAAAGUUUGUUAUCUUG